GCUGGAGGAAGGCCAUGCAUCUACAACAGUGUCCUCUUCAGCUUGUAUCCGUGGCUCUUCCUUUGACCUUCAAACGUCCCUGACUUUGCUACUGACCUGUUGUUUGAAAAGUACAGAAAUCACUUCAAGUUGUUUUUGUUACGGUUUUUCUGCCAACCUUCUGUACUGUCUAUCUAAAUCUAUUCAUGCUUUGGGUACCGACUAGGACUACAGACCCUGCACAAGGAAAGCGGUUUCCAGCCUCAGCUAGGCUCAGCGUGGAUAGCUGAAACAUGUGCCGAAUGCCAUGGUCACUGUCAGUUGCAAGCUUCUCUUCCACUCCCAAUCUGUGAAACAUCUUCAGGACACUACUCUGUUCCACGUUGGAGGGAGCUGUAUAUCAGUAUUAGAUUGGACUGGGUUGCAUGCCUACUGCUGCCUGCAGAUUUGACUAUGAAAAAGCAGGUGACACAAGUUUGGAUCUCAAUGGAAAAUGGAGCUCGCAUAAGAAGCACAAAUAUUUCACAGUGUUGUAAUUAGAGCACACUAAAGGAGCCUGGUACCCAGAAAUGGUGGAAUGAACAGAGACUAGAGCUAAGAGGGAGCUGGAAGCCAUCUCAAGAGGUCAUCUUAACUCAUCCUUCUACUCCAAAGCAGAAUCAGCUCAACCCAAAGCAUUCCUGACAGGUAUUUGUUUUAUCUGUUCUUCAAGAACUUCAGUGAUAAAGAUAGCA
rnacentral:lncRNA from 1 species